GAUGAACGCUGGCGGCGUGCCUAAUACAUGCAAGUCGAGCGAACAGACGAGGAGCUUGCUCCUCUGACGUUAGCGGCGGACGGGUGAGUAACACGUGGAUAACCUACCUAUAAGACUGGGAUAACUUCGGGAAACCGGAGCUAAUACCGGAUAAUAUAUUGAACCGCAUGGUUCAAUAGUGAAAGACGGUUUUGCUGUCACUUAUAGAUGGAUCCGCGCCGCAUUAGCUAGUUGGUAAGGUAACGGCUUACCAAGGCAACGAUGCGUAGCCGACCUGAGAGGGUGAUCGGGCAAACUGGAACUGAGACACGGUCCAGACCCCUACGGGAGGCAGCAGUAGGGAAUCUUCCGCAAUGGGCGAAAGCCUGACGGAGCAACGCCGCGUGAGUGAUGAAGGUCUUCGGAUCGUAAAACUCUGUUAUUAGGGAAGAACAAAUGUGUAAGUAACUAUGCACGUCUUGACGGUACCUAAUCAGAAAGCCACGGCUAACUACGUG
rnacentral:rRNA from 1 species